UCGUAGCUCAGCCACUUGGAUUUCUGAGUGGUACACGCAAUAACCUAAUGUCAAGACGAAAUCUCUGCAGGAACUGAAUUUUUAUUUCUUCAAAUAUUGUAUUUUUUUAAUUUUCUUUAUGCUAAUUUCUACUAUACAUCAUACCCACUGCAGUGAAUUUUAUUCAAAUCUUACCAUUAUCCUUAAAAAGAUCCCCCCCCCC
rnacentral:lncRNA from 1 species